UACGUAGGGUGCGAGCGUUGUCCGGAAUUAUUGGGCGUAAAGAGCUCGUAGGCGGUGUGUCACGUCGGCCGUGAAAACCUGCAGCUUAACUGUGGGCGUGCGGUCGAUACGGGCAGGCUAGAGUGUGGUAGGGGAGAUCGGAAUUCCUGGUGUAGCGGUGAAAUGCGCAGAUAUCAGGAGGAACACCGGUGGCGAAGGCGGAUCUCUGGGCCAUUACUGACGCUGAGGAGCGAAAGCGUGGGGAGCGAACAGG
rnacentral:rRNA from 1 species